rnacentral:rRNA from 1 species
AAUGAACGUUGGCGGCGUGGAUUAGGCAUGCAAGUCGAGCGAGAAGUCUUGGUUUGAAGCUUCGGCUGAUUUCUAAGAUGGACAGCGGCGCAAGGGAGAGUAAUGAGUGGAUUACCUACCCCCAGGACCGGGAUAGCUGCGGGAAACUGCAGGUAAUACCGGAUAAUAUCUCCGGAUCAAAUGGUGAGAUUCCGCCAGGGGAUGGGUCCGCUUCCUAUUARCUUGUUGGUGGGGUAACGGCCUACCAAGGCAAUAAUGGGUACCGGGUGUGAGAGCAUGGCCCGGCUCACUGGGACUGAGACACUGCCCAGACACCUACGGGUGGCUGCAGUCGAGAAUCUUCCGCAAUGGGCGAAAGCCUGACGGAGCGACGCCGCGUGCGGGAUGAAGGCCUUCGGGUUGUAAACCGCUGUCAGUUGGGAGGAAAUCUAUGAGGGUCAUCCCUCAUAGUUGACCUAUCAUCAGAGGAAGGACGGGCUAAGUUCGUGCCAGCAGCCGCGGUAAGACGAACCGUCCAAACGUUAUUCGGAAUUACUGGGCUUAAAGGGUGCGUAGGCGGCUUGGCAAGUUGGGUGUGAARUCCCUCGGCUCAACCGGGGAACUGCGCUCAAAACUGCCAGGCUAGAGGAAGAUAGAGGUGAGCGGAACUAAUGGUGGAGCGGUGAAAUGCGUUGAUAUCAUUAGGAACACCUGUGGCGAAAGCGGCUCACUGGGUCUUUUCUGACGCUGAGGCACGAAAGCUAGGGUAGCGAACGGGAUUAGAUACCCCGGUAGUCCUAGCCGUAAACGAUGAGCACUA